AGGGUUUGAUCAUGGCUCAGAUUGAACGCUGGCGGUAUGCUUAACACAUGCAAGUCGAACGGUAACAGCAGAGCUUGCUCUGGCUGACGAGUGGCGGACGGGUGCGUAACGCGUAGGAAUCUGCCUAUUAGUGGGGGACAACAUGGGGAAACCCAUGCUAAUACCGCAUACGCCCUACGGGGGAAAGCAGGGGAUCUUCGGACCUUGCGCUAAUAGAUGAGCCUGCGUUAGAUUAGCUAGUUGGUGAGGUAAUGGCUCACCAAGGCGACGAUCUAUAGCUGGUCUGAGAGGACGAUCAGCCACACUGGGACUGAGACACGGCCCAGACUCCUACGGGAGGCAGCAGUGGGGAAUAUUGGACAAUGGGCGAAAGCCUGAUCCNNCAAUACCGCGUGUGUGAAGAAGGCCUGAGG
rnacentral:rRNA from 1 species